rnacentral:pre_miRNA from 1 species
ACGAAACGUUACCUUCUCCGGUGAGAAGGCGAGGGGCUGCCUUCUCCGGUGAGAAGGCAGUCCCUUGUCUUCUCACCGGAGAAGGUGACGAGAAUU